rnacentral:rRNA from 1 species
GAAGCAGCCACCAUUUAAAGAGUGCGUAAUAGCUCACUGGUCGAGUGACUCUGCGCCGAAAAUGUACCGGGGCUAAACGUAUCACCGAAGCUGCGGACUGUUCUUCGAACAGUGGUAGGAGAGCGUUCUAAGGGCUGUGAAGCAAGACCGGAAGGACUUGUGGAGCGCUUAGAAGUGAGAAUGCCGGUAUGAGUAGCGAAAGAGGGGUGAGAAUCCCCUCCACCGAAUGCCUAAGGUUUCCUGAGGAAGGCUCGUCCGCUCAGGGUUAGUCGGGACCUAAGCCGAGGCCGAAAGGCGUAGGCGAUGGACAACAGGUUGAUAUUCCUGUACCACCUCCUCACCAUUUGAGCAAUGGGGGGACGCAGGAGGAUAGGGUAAGCGCGGUAUUGGAUAUCCGCGUCCAAGCAGUUAGGCUGGGAAAUAGGCAAAUCCGUUUCCCGUGAAGGCUGAGCUGUGAUGGCGAGCGAAUUAUAGUAGCGAAGUUCCUGAUUCCACACUGCCAAGAAAAGCCUCUAGCGAGGUGAGAGGUGCCCGUACCGCAAACCGACACAGGUAGGCGAGGAGAGAAUCCUAAGGUGAGCGAGAGAACUCUCGUUAAGGAACUCGGCAAAAUGACCCCGUAACUUCGGGAGAAGGGGUGCUCAUUAGGGUGAAUAGCCUUGAUGAGCCGCAGUGAAUAGGCCCAGGCGACUGUUUAGCAAAAACACAGGUCUCUGCGAAGCCGUAAGGCGAAGUAUAGGGGCUGACGCCUGCCCGGUGCUGGAAGGUUAAGAGGAGCGCUUAGCGUAAGCGAAGGUGCGAAUUGAAGCCCCAGUAAACGGCGGCCGUAACUAUAACGGUCCUAAGGUAGCGAAAUUCCUUGUCGGGUAAGUUCCGACCC